UGCCUAAACACUGGAAGCAUUGCACAAGG
rnacentral:piRNA from 1 species